CGAUGGACAAUCGGUUAAUAUUCCGAUACCGCCGAGCAACCGGAUGCAGUGACACAGAAGGAUAGGCAGAGCGUGGCGAUGGUAGACCACGUCCAAGCAGUGAGGCUGUUGUGUAGUGAAGUACGCACAACGUAAGGCUGGGCUGUGAUGGGGAACGAUUACGAUCGGUAAGCUGCUGAAUUCACGCUGGCGAGAAAAGCUGCUACGAAGCGAAGGCGCCCGUACCGCAAACCGACACAGGUAGGCGAGGAGAGAAUCCUAAGACGAGCGGGAGAACCCUUGUUAAGGAACUCGGCAAAAUGACUCCGUAACUUAGGGAGAAGGAGUGCCCAGGAAUGGGCCGCAGAGAAUAGACCCAAGCGACUGUUUACCAAAAACACAGGUCUGUGCGAAGUAGAGAUACGACGUAUACGGGCUGACACCUGCCCAGUGCCGGAAGGUUAAGGGGAAAUGUUAGGGCAACCGAAGCAUGGAACUUAAGCCCCGGUGAACGGCGGCCGUAACUAUAACGGUCCUAAGGUAGCGAAAUUCCUUGUCGGGUAAGUUCCGACCCGCACGAAUGGUGUAACGAUUUGGGUACUGUCUCAACAAGGGACCCGGCGAAAUUGUAGUAUGUGUGAAGAUGCACAUUACCCGCGAUAGGACGGAAAGACCCCGUAGAGCUUUACUGUAGUUUAACAUUGGAUUCCGGUAACAUAUGCACAGGAUAGGUGGGAGGCGGAGAAGCAGUGAUUUCGGUUGCUGCAGAGCCGACGUUGGGAUACCACUCUUGUGUUACUGGGGUUCUAACCUGUGGCCGUGAUCCGGCACAGGAACAGUGUUAGAUGGGCAGUUUGACUGGGGCGGUCGCCUCCAAAAGAGUAACGGAGGCGUCCAAAGGUUCCCUCAGAAUGGUUGGAAACCAUUCGAAGAGUACAAAGGCAGAAGGGAGCCUGACUGCGAGACCGACAGGUCGAGCAGGGACGAAAGUCGGGCUUAGUGAUCCGGCGGUAUAGAGUGGAAUUGCCGUCGCUCAACGGAUAAAAGCUACCUCGGGGAUAACAGGCUUAUCUCCCCCAAGAGUCCACAUCGACGGGGAGGUUUGGCACCUCGAUGUCGGCUCGUCGCAUCCUGGGGCUGGAUUAGGUCCCAAGGGUUUGGCUGUUCGCCAAUUAAAGCGGCACGCGAGCUGGGUUCAGAACGUCGUGAGACAGUUCGGUCCCUAUCCAUCGUGGGCGCAGGAGAUUUGAGAAGAGCUGUCCUCAGUACGAGAGGACCGGGAUGGACGCACCAAGGGUGUAUCAGUUGUCACGCCAGUGGCACAGCUGGGUAGCCAAGUGCGGAUCGGAUAAACGCUGAAGGCAUCUAAGCGUGAAGCCGACUUCAAGAUAAGAUCUCCCAUCCGCAAGGAGUAAGGCCCCAUGUAGACCACAUGGUUGAUAGGUCGCAGGUGGAAGUGCAGUAAUGUACGCAGCUGAGCGAUACUAAUAGGCCGAGGGCUUGAUCAA
rnacentral:rRNA from 1 species